UAAAUGCUUGGGAAUCUAGCUUAUGGAGGGGGAUAACUACGGGAAACUGUAGCUAAUACCGCGUAGAAUCGGGAGAUGAAAGUGUGGGACCUUCGGGCCACAUGCCAUAGGAUGAGCCCAAGUGGGAUUAGGUAGUUGGUGAGGUAAAGGCUCACCAAGCCGACGAUCUCUAGCUGGUCUGAGAGGAUGACCAGCCACACUGGGACUGAGACACGGCCCAG
rnacentral:rRNA from 1 species